GGAGAGUAGAAACGUUCAGUCCUACAAGAAGUAGGACUGAACUGGAGGAACCCCUCUAGCUAAACAACUCCAGGAAGACCUACUGUACUCUGACCUGAAUCCUUCACCAGUGACUGGGAAAGGGUAGAGACAAACUAACUUUGCUUCUCCCAGGAAGUCUCCCUUGUCCCUAGCAGCCUCCUACGACCACUGGCUGGGGAGCUAAAAGGACAAAAGGGGUGUGAUGAUGAUGUUCCUAGGCUGGUGGUUGGCGACUGUCUGGAUACACUUUUCUUUCUGUUUGUAAGUGUGAGGACAUAUCUUUGAGUUUGAAGAGGACAGGAUCUUUAAGAAAUAAAAAAUUAAACGUGUUCAUUAUGAGACAGAAUGAUGACUGAAUAACGUCAUAUGGCUCCUCCUCAGGACUGAGCUGAUGUAAGAGCACAUUGGCGUUAUCAUGCACGUCCUCAUAUGAAGCAUUCAAGCAGACUGUUUGUCCAAGUUCAGGCGACAUAAAGUGGAACAGCUCGCUGCUUCAACUAUACAGGAGAAGAUGAUCUGGAUCCUUGUGCUCAUCAGCCUGACCUCCUCUGUCUGUGGAGGGCCGAAGGAGGAAGCUGGCUCUGAUAGUUGGAACCCAGCCCUGAUCAUUGGAGUCAUGCUCGGCGGAGCUGUAUUGGUUGUUGGUCUAAUAUUUCUGGGUGAUGCAGCUCUCCAGUGUCUGGCAUGUCUCAUUCGCGGAGCUAAAAGCAUCAUUCAGUUCCUGAGACGGAUCAUCUGAAAAAGUUACAAUCGGCAGCAUUACUUCUUACAUUCUGGGUCCAAAACAACUUAAAGUUCCUGUCAGCUCCCCGCCCCCCUCCGUCCACAAUGAUUCCUCUAAUACAACAUGCAGAGACUUUAAACUUACUAAACAAAACAUCAUCUGUUACGACAUCCUUUUAAACACACGAUACGAUAAAAUUAUAGUCUGAAAUCCCCAACACGUAUUAUACAAAUGUGCCUGAAUGCAUCAAUCCUGCAAACAGACAACAACGAGGAAGAACAAUGGCACUACUGUGCAAUCGUAACAUAACAGCAUCACUGUAAAACAUUAGACAGUCUGUGUGUCUGUCUUUACUGCGACGUACAAAGAAGUUACAAGUUUCUGCAAGUUGAUUCUCAUACUAUGGGCACUUUAAGAUACUAACAUAUACUUAACUGCUCAUUAUUAAUCUGAAUAUACUGUAGUAGUGUGUAUUUGUAUUUGAUCUGUUUCAUAUUUAUAGUAUGUGUAUAUCUGAUAUCCAUGAACAUCAGGUCUCAUCAUGUGUUAUAGUGUAUAACUGUCAGAGCUGAUGCUCUUUGCACACUUUUAAAACCUUAACUCAUCCACUGUUUUAAUCUGAUGAUGAUGUUGCUGUCAUUAAAGUCAGUUUGCAAUCAUUACUAACUCUAUUUGUCUGCCUGCAGAUAGUUUACAGAGUAUAUUUUUUGUCUUUAAACAUGUGACAAGUGAUGAACACACCCUAACCAAACUUAUUUUGUGCCUAAACAAAACCAAACUUUAACCACAGUGGUGUAAAAUCAGAAAAUGGUUGUUGAAUCUCAACUAAUAAGCUGCUGAAAUGUUACAAAUACUCUAUAAACUGUAGGUGGACUAUCUGAAUAAAGAGUUACGCAAUAAGUGUAACAGCCGAUAAGUGUUGCCUUGUCAAAUCCCUCUUCUUUAAAAUAUUUUAUAAAUGUAUUUUUCUUUAGAUGUCCUCGGCUGUGUGUGCAUACUGAAGUUUUGAGGGACUUCUGAAUCUGAAUCUGAAUGUUUUAAUCACAUCUCAUACUGACUUGCUGAAUGUGCCUAAAACCAGUGUGUCUGCAUUUAUUAUGAUCACUUCUCAUUUCACUAGAAUAAAGUUC